AUCACUUCUCAGGCUUUUGGCUGAAAUCAAGUGUAGAAUCUGUUCUUAUCAGUUUAUUUUUUAUUUUUUUUUUUUAAUUUUUUUUUUCAACGUUUUUUAUUUAUUUUUGGGACAGAGAGAGACAGAGCAUGAACGGGGGAGGGGCAGAGAGAGAGGGAGACACAGAAUCGGAAACAGGCUCCAGGCUCCGAGCCAUC